GAGAGAUGAAUUCUCAAGAUUUCUAAAUUCUGCUUUAAGGCUGAGGCAGAGAUAAAAAUAUUAUUGUGUGUUUAAGAAUUAAUUGCUAGAAGAACCAGCUGUUUGGUUUGAGACAUUGGGUUCAGCCUUGCUCCAAAGAACAUAACACUUUCUUGUUUUCCUACAGAGCUCAAAAGCGCGUUUUGAAUGCUCUGUGGAAUAUAUAAUUUUUCUUCACUUUUACACCUUCCCGAAACUGCAGACUUCAAAGCACACUGACCUACUCAGGUUUCACUACUUACUGUUUCAUGACUUUACAUGUGGAUUUCCCUCCCUUUACUUGAUCAUGAAAUGAGGACUCCUUCCAGUCUUAGCUUCACAGGAGCUUCACCCAUUUAAAAGAACCUGAUUCCCAUCCUCAUGGAUGCAGAUGAAAGAGAAGAGAGAAGAGCAACAUUGGGAAAGAUGGAGUGAAGGGUUACUCUAUGAAAGAGACAGAAUCUACCCCAGAGAGAAUAGUCCCUGAAGCAAGAUGAUGCCUGUUAUGCUUUGAAGUAUGUGAAGAUUAGGGAGGUCUGUUGCAUCAAAUCCAGACAGACCCUGAACAUCUGCAACUCCCUUUUCUCAUCAGGUACAAAUAUAGCAAGAUGAAUAACCCACCGAACAGAAAGGACUGUAUAAUGUGAGAGGCAGCACUUCUGCAUAGUAAGAGAUCUUCUGUACGUAAGAGUUCAACGUUUAAGGAGACGUGAUGGCAGGUGAAUGGAAAUAUCACUGUGCUCAUGUGCCCAGUCACACAGCACAUCUGCUACAGAGGAAAGAGAUUAAUCCAAGCUGAGUAUGAAAACAGUUCCUCAAUUACAGGACUAAUCUUUAUUUUCCUGUGGUAUACUUCCUAUCUCAGUGUAACACAUUGCACAUAUUACCAUGAUGACUUUCUUAUAAUUAUUCUGAACAUAAAAAAGGUUUCUUUGUCCUGACUGAUUACCAGAAGUUAUACUUUUCAUGUAACAUCCCGUGUUCUUGGAUACAUUAUGUCUAAACACAAAUUUGAACAGCUCUAUCUUUACAACUGAGUCUUGUACUUGUCACAUUUUCGCAGAUAUUACUGAUUUAUUGAAGACAGUAAAGAAAUAUGGAAGCUAUUAACAGCAGUCCUCAUCAAUAACCUGUCUGAACACACAGCAUACAGAAAAGAUAUUACAGAAAUGGUAUCUUUAAGAUAGUGCUCAAAUUGCAUGAGUUUAACUGAUAUGGAGGACGUGAGCUGAGAUUUCAUCUGCAGUUAUUUCACCUCCAUGAUUGCAGUGUGGCCAAUCCAAGAACUAGUGGAGAUAAAUCUGUCUUUAUUAAAGGUAGUGGAAUAAAAUAAAAUUAUAUUUAUGAAUAAGAUAAAAGCAAUCAGUGUGAAUCUCAUGCUUAUUAACAUUAAUAAA